rfam:Bacillus endophyticus strain Hbe603, complete genome.
UGUGGAAAGAAGAGGCACCCGCUUCUCACCUGAUUGACGCAUCUUUUGCAGUUGAUAGGUUUCAACACAACUUUUAUGAUAAUAUAAAAGCUGACGUGUGGGUGCUCUGUGCUCACACGUUUUUUAUUGA